UGAAUUCGCACAAUAGGUUGGUUACGAAUAUGAAAACGAACAACCUUACGAAAACAAUCAAUUUUGGCAUGAUGAGUAGUUAACCAAUCAAUCCUUAAAAUCACGUCAAAUGCAAGUAUCUUUAAAGAGAUAAGGUCAACAGGUAAGGUGAUGGUGCCAACUUGGAUCAAAAAAGAUUUAUAAACAGUGGAUGUGAUGAAAGUUUCUCCUAACGGAGUCUC
rnacentral:lncRNA from 1 species